rnacentral:rRNA from 1 species
UUUGGUCGUAGACCCGAAACCAGGUGAUCUACCCUUGGUCAGGUUGAAGUUCAGGUAACACUGAAUGGAGGACCGAACCGACUUACGUUGAAAAGUGAGCGGAUGAACUGAGGGUAGCGGAGAAAUUCCAAUCGAACCUGGAGAUAGCUGGUUCUCUCCGAAAUAGCUUUAGGGCUAGCCUCAAGUGAUGAUUAUUGGAGGUAGAGCACUGUUUGGACGAGGGGCCCCUCUCGGGUUACCGAAUUCAGACAAACU